GCGCGUGUGGCGGAACUAGGUAGACGCGCUAGACUUAGGAUCUAGUGCCGCGAGGCGUGGGGGUUCGAUUCCCUCCACGCGCACCA
rnacentral:tRNA from 1 species